CACCUGAGCUGCCUGUCCCGGCACACAGCCACCAUCACCAACAGGUUCCCCAGGAUGGCCAUCAGGAUAACCGCAGAGAUGAAGGCUAUUUCUUCUGACAUAUCCAGAACCAAAGGCACCUCAACCCAACACUCAUGUAUUUCCACAGUACAUCACAGUGGUGAGAAAGGAUGCCUGCUCACAGCAUCAUGUGGGGCUGGAAGUAAGCUGGCAUUAAAAGCAGAACUCAACACUGAUCCAGCAGGGAGAUUUCUUCACUGCGUAUGGAGCUGGCACUCAGCACUGGGAUUAAUGUGGUGAGAUUGCUCAGGUCACAACCCAACUUCCCUACAAUUGCAGAGGGAUAAAAUGACCAAUGAACAGCACAGAGCACCUUGAGCACUGCAGAUGUGAUGUGAUGAGGGAGACAGAAAACAGAGCAGAUGGAGAGGAGAUGACGCACGGGGGCUGGAUGGCCAGAGAGCCAUUUCCUGACCACAAGGGAAAGAUUCUGCCCGCAGAGGUGACGUGGAGCAUCACCUGGAGGCAGCUGGGCACCUCCUGAGCACCUCAUAGCAAAGUGCUUGUGUAAUUGUCAGUGAUUCAGAGCCCAGAGCUGUGAGUGUUACCAGGUUCCCUUAGACUUGUUCCUUGAUUUAGCAGUGGCCUCAAGGGAAGUGGGGAAUGCUGGAAGAGCCCGUCUGCUUACUGCAGCCAAACCAUGGCUUCUCACUCUGUAACUCCAGGUGACACGUGAUUUCAUGCAGUCCUUUCACUGCGAGUAAGCUGUUAUUUGCCUCUUCUCCUCUCUACUCCCCUAAUUAUUCCAAGGCAUAAAAGCAGAGGCUGAUUGUUAAACACUUAAAAAUCAAGAUAUGUUAUUAUAUGAGUAAACCUAACAAUGCGCAUCUCAGCACAGAAACAUGACAAUAGGGAAGACAUUAUUUGAUCUAUGGCUUUCUAGCUGUUACCAUAUUC